GUUGUAUGGUUAAGUGACUAAGCGUACACGGUGGAUGCCUUGGCAGUCAGAGGCGAUGAAAGACGUAG
rnacentral:rRNA from 1 species